rnacentral:rRNA from 1 species
UACGGAGGGUGCAAGCGUUGUCCGGAAUUAUUGGGCGUAAAGAGCUCGUAGGCGGUUUGUUGCGUCGGCUGUGAAAUCCCGAGGCUCAACCUCGGGUCUGCAGUCGAUACGAGCAAACUAGAGUGUUGCAGGGGAGACUGGAAUUCCUGGUGUAGCGGUGAAAUGCGUAGAGAUCGGGAAGAACACCAGUGGCGAAGGCGGCCGGCUGGGGGCGCCCUGACGCUGAGGCGCGAGAGCGUGGGGAGCAAACCGG